AUGCCGUUGAAAAUUAAAGCCUUCUCCUGGUUAGUGAUCAAGAAUAGGAUCCUAACCAAAGAUAACUUAAGUAAAAAAGGGUGGAAAGGUGCUAAGCAUUGUGAGUUUUGUGACAGUAUAGAGAAUGUGGAUCACCUUUUCUUUUCUUGUUCCCUGUCUAGGUUCUUAUGGAGUAUUGUGGGGUGUUCCUUGGGUAACCAAAGAUCCCCAGUGUCUUUCCUUGAUUUAUGCCAGAAUUGGUUGCCUAACUAUACUGGCAAAGAUAGAGUAGUUGUUAUGCUUGGUGUUGCUGCUUUGCUAUGGUCUAUUUGGAAAACAAGAAAUAAAUCAUGCUUUCAAGGUGUAAUGCCCAAUGAUCCUACUGAUAUUAUUAUGUCUGUUUGCUCCCUUCUAUAUUCGUGGAAAAUUUUGCAGAAAAAAGGACUACAAAACACGCUACAGCUAGUCGCUAGAAGGAUUGCCCAGGUGACUCGGGAUGUCUUCAGGAGAGGAUAUGGGUGGGCGCCGUAUGUGAGGAGAAUCUGA
rnacentral:rRNA from 1 species